CUGGCCAUAGGUGAAGGUCUCACAAGUCACGACCAACAGUGUAAGUAUGAUACAUUAAUACAUUUUAACAUGGUUGUAAAAACAUUUAGUUUACAGCUAAUAGCUAACCUCCUCUUUUUACAGUGCAUGGAGCUAUAAUCACGCAGCAAUAUGUUGGAUCUACAACAUCCAAUUUAUAUUAUCCUAUCGACGGUGCCGUGCCUACAGCCCAUUUGUAUAGUUAUAACAGUGGACCCGAUACAAACUCAUCAUUAACCGCGUUGGAAGAUCUCACAGAUGAUGUGGGCGAACCUGGGUCCUACAUGGACCAGCUAUUGAGUGUUAAACAACCAUCGCGUUUGUCCAUGAAGAGACGGUCAGCGGAACCAGUCACCAUUGAGCCCAGCAAGAAGGCUAACACACCCAUUGUGUCUGACGAGCUGGUGCCGGAAAUCCAACUACCUACGGUGGUUUGUGGGAGUAGCGACAUCGUGGAAUUGACAGACCAGCUGACGAGUAUCUGCGCGUGGACAGACAAUGAGAUAACUAACUGGGAUCAAGCGGACUUCAACUGGGACAGUGGCUCGCUCACAGCUGAAGCAGCAAGGGGCGAGAACGAUCAGCAAAGACGUGACGGGUUGGUCAACAACGAUUGUGACGGAGCAGUGGCUACGCCUGCAACAGGGACACACGUCAGCGUACUACAGACAACUACAAACGACAAUUCUGGACUGAUAUCGCAACUAAACUCAAACAGCGGAUCGCAACACCAACAGACACAGACCCCAGUGGCUGAUCAGAGGUAUGGGCAAGGCCUUAUUCAAAAUGGUGAUGUGGUGGGUGCAGUAGGUGUAGCUAGUACAAGGCGUUUGGAUAGACAGCUAGCAUCACGUGUGAGGUAUCUAAUGCAUGAAACACGUAGUAUAAAGACAGAUGUGAAUGAGACAAAGGGGAUAAAAGCUAUAGUGGUAGGAAUGCGUUGUGGUAUGAGAGCGUUACAUUCAACAGUGGCGACAUUGGCUGGUGAAUUCACAGGUUUUAACUCUGUAAUGGUUAAGGAAUUGCAUAGUGUCAAUGCU
rnacentral:lncRNA from 1 species